GCCAGGCAUGGUGGCGCAUGCCUGUAGUCCCAGCUACUCAGGAGGCUGAGGCAGGAGAAUUGCUUGAGCUCAGGAGGUCGAGGCUGCAGUGAGCCGUGAUUAUGCCACUGCACUCCAGCCAAGGCAACAGAGCAAGACCUUGUCUAAA
rnacentral:SRP_RNA from 2 species